GAUUCCGUAGGUGAACCUGCGGAAGGAUCAUUA
rnacentral:rRNA from 1 species